rnacentral:rRNA from 1 species
AGCGUGGAGACAGGUGGUGCAUGGCUGUCGUCAGCUCGUGUCGUGAGAUGUUGGGUUAAGUCCCGCAACGAGCGCAACCCUCACCCCUUGUCGCCAUCAGGUCAUGCUGGGCACUCUAGAGGAACUGCCCCGGUCAACGGGGAGGAAGGCGGGGAUGACGUCAAGUCAUCAUGCCCCUUACGUCCUGGGCUACACACGUGCUACAAUGGCCGGUACAAAGGGAUGCCACACCGCGAGGUAGAGCUAAACCCAAAAAGCCGGUCUAAGUUCAGAUUGGAGUCUGCAACUCGACUCCAUGAAGGAGGAAUCGCUAGUAAUCGCGUAUCAGCACGACGCGGUGAAUACGUUCCCGGGCCUUGUACACACCGCCCGUCACACCACGAAAGCCUGCUGUACUCGAAGUCGCUGAG